CAGAUGUAGUAGCCAGUUAUUGUGGGUGGGCUGUAUUACUGAUUGUGUUUUGUGGGUGGGCUGCUGGACUAACAAGGGCACUGACCGGCAGGAGGUCAGAUACCCUGUUAGUCUGAUUGGUAAAGGGGAGAAGUGUGGCGAAACCAACCUCGCCACUAUGCACUGGAGAAGCCUGGUUGCCAGCCUCCUGCCAUCUGACUAUGGCCCCCUUGUGAAGUCGUACUUUUGUAUGCAAUAUUUGGGCAUGUGACAUUCUUAUAUUGCUGCUACUGGCCCUUUAAGGGCCCUCCGUGAACAUAUUCUGCCUGUUAGGAAUAAUGCCUUUUUAAGACUGUGUAGCAAAUUGCAUUCAGGCUGUAUUUAAUAUUAUGUGUUCGGUGUAAAGUGUUAUGUGAAUGCAGCAUUCCCUGAUUGUUCGGUAGAAUCACUUCAUUCAUUAUAUUGGGUGAAACUACCGAACAACCAGACCACCCGGGAGUAAGUGUGCCUCCAAUUACCGUUUGCAACAAUGUUGCAAACGGGUAAUUGGCUAUAUGUGUACUGUGUGUUGUGUCCUCUGGGUGGCCGCCAUUCGUGAAACGAACACGUGGCGGCGGCCAUCUUAAACUCCCGAAC